UACGUAGGGGCAAGCGUUAUCCGGAUUUACUGGGUGUAAAGGGAGCGUAGACGGUAUGGUAAGUCAGAUGUGAAAGCCCGGGGCUCAACCCCGGGACUGCAUUUGAAACUAUCAAACUGGAGUGCAGGAGAGGUAAGUGGAAUUCCUAGUGUAGCGGUGAAAUGCGUAGAUAUUAGGAGGAACACCAGUGGCGAAGGCGACCUACUGGACUGUAACUGACGUUGAGGCUCGAAAGCGUGGGGAGCAAACAGGAUUAGAUACCCGGGUAGUCCCUGAGCGGGCU
rnacentral:rRNA from 1 species